GUUCAUGGGUUUAUCAAUUUCGCCAGGUAAAUUCGCCCAAAGAAAACCCUAAGGAAGCAAAGCAAAUUUCUUCCCUACAUUGCAAUGGAUUCAAGACGACGGAAAAGGGGCGAAUGCACUCCGAAAUAUGGGCAUGUGUUUCAGCCUACCUACACUUGAGGACCCCUUCAAUGACAAAAGUGGUAAGCCAGAUCCUGUGAAGAACAAAAAGCGAGCAGAUUCCA